GACGAACGCUGGCGGCGUGCCUAAGACAUGCAAGUCGAGCGAGGUAUGACUUCGGUCAAACCUAGCGGCGGACGGGUGAGUAACGCGUGGGCAACCUGCCCCUCAGCUCGGGAUAACCGCCGGAAACGGAGGCUAAUACCGGAUGCGGUGUAUGAGUCGCAUGGCUCAAACACGAAAGUUACGGCGCUGGGGGAUGGGCCCGCGUCCCAUUAGCUAGUUGGUAGGGUAAAGGCCUACCAAGGCAACGAUGGGUAGCCGGCCUGAGAGGGUGAACGGCCACACUGGGACUGAGACACGGCCCAGACUCCUACGGGAGGCAGCAGUCGGGAAUCUUCCACAAUGGGCGAAAGCCCUGAUGGAGCGACGCCGCGUGAGGGAAGAAGGCCUUCGGGUCGUAAACCUCUGUCCCCUGGGACGAUAAUGACGGUACCAGGGGAGGAAGCCACGGCUAACUACGUG
rnacentral:rRNA from 1 species